rnacentral:rRNA from 1 species
UACGUAGGGGGCAAGCGUUGUCCGGAAUCAUUGGGCGUAAAGAGCGCGUAGGCGGUCCGGUAAGUCCGCUCUGAAAGUCCGGGGCUCAACCCCGGGAGGCGGGCGGAUACUGUCGGGCUAGAGUCCGGAAGAGGCGAGUGGAAUUCCUGGUGUAGCGGUGAAAUGCGCAGAUAUCAGGAGGAACACCAAUGGCGAAGGCAGCUCGCUGGGACGGUACUGACGCUGAGGCGCGAAAGCGUGGGGAGCAAACAG